ACAGGCGCACGGGUGCGUAACGCGUAUGCAAUCUACAUUUAACAGGGGGAUAGCCCAGAGAAAUUUGGAUUAAUACCUCAUAGUAUAUAGACUUGGCAUCAAGAUUAUAUUAAAGAUUUAUCGGUAAAAGAUGAGCAUGCGUUCUAUUAGCUAGAUGGUAAGGUAACGGCUUACCAUGGCAACGAUAGAUAGGGGCCCUGAGAGGGGGAUCCCCCACACUGGUACUGAGACACGGACCAGACUCCUACGGGAGGCAGCAGUGAGGAAUAUUGGACAAUGGGCGAGAGCCUGAUCCAGCCAUGCCGCGUGCAGGAAGACUGCCCUAUGGGUUGUAAACUGCUUUUAUACAGGAAGAAACACCUCUACGUGUAGAGGCUUGACGGUACUGUAAGAAUAAGGAUCGGCUAACUCCGUGCCAGCAGCCGCGGUAAUACGGAGGAUCCAAGCGUUAUCCGGAAUCAUUGGGUUUAAAGGGUCCGUAGGUGGAUAAUUAAGUCAGAGGUGAAAUCCUGCAGCUCAACUGUAGAAUUGCCUUUGAUACUGGUUAUCUUGAGUUAUUAUGAAGUAGUUAGAAUAUGUAGUGUAGCGGUGAAAUGCAUAGAUAUUACAUAGAAUACCAAUUGCGAAGGCAGAUUACUAAUAAUAUACUGACACUGAUGGACGAAAGCGUGGGGAGCGAACAGGAUUAGAUACCCUGGUAGUCCACGCCGUAAACGAUGGUUACUAGCUGUUCGAACUUCGGUUUGAGUGGCUAAGCGAAAGUGAUAA
rnacentral:rRNA from 1 species